ACUGCCGUCAUUGUUGCUUCCCAGCCGCCGGAGCACCGUCGUGUUCUCGCCGCCGCCGCCGCGGCCCAGCCGCGACCUUCAAACCAGCUCCACCGUCGCUUCUCCUACCACCACCAUCCUUGUUGUGUUGUGCCGCCCUCCUGCUGCAGCGCCACUGCACUGGCCGUCGGCUUCUUCUUCUUUUUCUUUUCUCUUUGCUUGCUCCUCUCGCACGCACCACCACUAGCACGCGCCGCCCAGGCUUCUCUCGACCACCUGCGCCGCCGUCGCGCUGCCUCCGCGACCACCUGUUCAUGCUGUCGUGCAGUCCGCCGCCGGCCAGCUCCUUAUCUCCCUCUUUGGUGGAGAAUUCUCCGUAGGCGACUUUUGAAUUAUUAAAGUGGUCUCGCAGUUUGUUUACACAAGGUACGUACAUACCUGUGUGCUUGGAAUGUGUGCUAAUUGUUGAAACCA